UUGAGAGUAUUGUGGUCUAGGGCAAGUUAGUCCUCUGAAGGCUCGAGGCACAGCGCUAGGAUCAUUGUGCAGACCAAUGCUGAUGGAAAGCUCCAUGCUGAUUUUGAGGAGUCAGGCAGUUCCUUUGAUUACUCAACCUCAGUACGUAGGCGUAACUGGCCCAGUUGUGGAGAAGAUGAGAAGCUUUCCUUUGAUCUUUACCUUGUGUGGCUCCACCCUUAGAGCACCUCAAUAGCAUCUCUAGUUAUGCCGGUUGUAGUUAACGGGGAGGAUGCACCUGAUUCUACUGCACCUCAAAAGAGAAAGAGACUAUGGGUUUUGGUGGUUAGUCCCCUUUCCUCUCAGGUUUUGUCUCACAGAGCCCCAAGUGAAAUGUGAUGGAGCAGCUCUCUUGUAAUAAAGACAAGAGAUAGCUUCUUGGUUGUCUCUGAGUACCACACCGAUUCAACUGGUUUGAGCACUGAUAGCUUGCAUGACAGCUGGGUGUCUUAGAGCUCUUGGGGAUUCAGUAUGCCGCUAUGAGUCAAAAGCAUCAUUGAAGAGUGCUUGGAUCUUAAAAUAAAAGAGUUCAGCUUAAACAAGUGUUAAGUAAUGAUGAAGAAUAAUGGAAAGAGCGUUCGUGUAACAAAUGAAACCAAGGAAGAAGUAAUGUCUGUAUGGAGACAGUAUUAGGAGGCUUCAGCAAGUUCUUGCAGAUAUCAUGCUGAUAUGUCUGUUAUCUUCACACCAUCCGGAGGUCAGAUUCCUCGAGGAAAGACCAGCUCGGAAGA